ACUUUAACUAAUUUGUCCACUUCAGACAAUAAUUUGUCCGCAUUACUUAAAAUAAUUAGUCAAUAAAAUUAUAUAUAUCAACAAACAUAUAUUCUUAUAACUUUGGUAAAAUAUCUCAAACAAAAUAAUUUGGACGGUUCUUAUUCCUUGGAGAUUGAUGUCUCCUCACAUCUACAAAAAUCAGCAGUUCCAUUUUCUAAUCGUGAUUCCCCAACUUCAAUUAUGAUUAUAAUGGCCGCUCCCUCAUAUUUAUUUGCCUCUCCCUCAUAUUUAUCAUCUCUUUAAAUCCUUCCUUCCACGAUCCUAAUGAUCGAUAGACUAAAAGUCUAAGACCCUUGCAAGAUUCUCUAAAAUCGAAUAAUGACAUUUAAAAGAUCUGCAGAUGUUGUCAUUCUCCAUCUUAAUUCUUAAAAGACUGCAAAAUUAUAGUACUAUUUUUCAGCAGCGGAAGUGUAAGUGACAAUCACUUCUAGGAAACCAUCUCUAUAUCUAUGGCAACUGGCUUCAGCUUAAAAAAUCUAUAAGGCACAAUAGAGCACAAACUGUGUGAUCUGGCAUGGAGAGUAGGACUUGAAGUUGUUGACCUUCCACCUGAUAUCCGAGAGAGCCCACCACACUCGAGAAGGAGUGCUUCAAGAACCAUUCAAUGGCUCUAAAUUCAUACAUGCCAAUAGUUUUCAAGCAUAAGUUUGGGUCAUGUAACUGGUACACUGAUGCGUACUCCUCCAGGAUACGCAGAUUCUUAGUGUUCAUUUUCUUCUUCUUAUUUUGAUUUAAGGGAACUGCAGUAAUCAUGAGGAAGAUGAUAGAGACAGCUUUUCCUUUAUUAGAGCUGGUGGCCGAAAAGCCUUUUAGCUAAGGUUGUGACAGGUGCUCAGAUUGGAGUUAUUGGUCUCAUAAUGGGAUGUGAGCAUAUAUUUCCCAUGAUUGGAAUCGCACACCUUCCUGCAUGGUCCUGUGAGGAAAAAUAGAUAUGGGCCCAGUUGGCUUCUCGGUAAGUUCCUGCAGUCAUUUCUAAAAAACUCAUGGGUCUCUGAAGCUAUCUGCAAUUGGGAAUCGGUGUUCUUUACAUUAAAAUAAGAAGGUUUUCCGGGGAGAUCGAGUUGAAAUACCUCAUCGGCAAAACCCUGAUGGAACCAUUGUCAAAUGCAUCGGCUGAGAAAUCUCUGGCUACAAGGUGUUGUGUCAGCUCCCUACCUUAAACAGAGAGUGUUGCAGCCACAUGAUGUACAAAUAGAAGGGUUUGUAUGAGAAACAAAAGAAAGACUAACUCUCAGACUCAUCUGUUGGUUUGAUUGAGGAGUGUAUGUGUUGUAUUUAUCGUUAUGAUGGCAUGGGGUAGCUAUCAAGUUACUUCGUAUAGAUCAUGUAGAGGUUUCUCAUAUUCGGGCUAUAAAGUUUCAUGUACAUGCAGUAAGAUUCGGGAGAGUACGUGAAAGCUAUCUAUGAUUGUUAUUUAGCACUGGUCAUACGUAAGUAAGAAAAUGUAUUGGACAUAUCCUAUUCCAAGAGUGAAACUUUUUAAAUUUUGACUACAAA